rnacentral:snRNA from 1 species
GUGCUCGCUUCAGCAGCACACGUGCUAGAACUAAGGAUACAGAAAAGGCCAGCAUGGCCCCUGAGCAAGGACAGCAUGCAGAUGCACGAGGUGCACCACACGGGG